AAUAAAGUGGCUGAAGACAAUAGGCAUUAAACUGUAAAUUUAAUUAUAAAUAAAAUUUCUUUAUUA
rnacentral:tRNA from 1 species